rnacentral:rRNA from 1 species
UGGGGAAUCUUGGACAAUGGGCGCAAGCCUGAUCCAGCGAUGCCGCGUGAGUGAAGAAGGCCUUAGGGUUGUAAAACUCUUUCACUGGUGACGAUGAUGACGGUAGCCAGAGAAGAAGCCCCGGCUAACUCCGUGCCAGCAGCCGCGGUAAUACGGAGGGGGCUAGCGUUGUUCGGAUUUACUGGGCGUAAAGGGCGCGUAGGCGGCAAUUCAAGUCAUCUGUGAAAUCUCCGGGCUUAACUCGGAACGGUCAGAUGACUACUGCUUUGCUAGAGUGCAGAAGGGGCAAUCGGAAUUCUUGGUGUAGCGGUGAAAUGCGUAGAUAUCAAGAGGAACACCUGAGGUGAAGACGGGUUGCUGGGCUGACACUGACGCUGAGGCGCGAAAGCCAGGGGAGCAAACGGGAUUAGAUACCCCCGUAGUCCCUGAGCGGGCUGGCAAGGCGCAU